rnacentral:rRNA from 1 species
UACGAAGGGGGCUAGCGUUGUUCGGAAUUACUGGGCGUAAAGCGCGCGCAGGCGGUUCUUCAAGGCAGUGGUGAAAGCCCGGAGCUCAACUCCGGAAUUGCCAUUGAAACUGUGGAACUUGAGGAUGAGAGAGGUGAGUGGAAUUCCCAGUGUAGAGGUGAAGUUCGUAGAUAUUGGGAAGAACACCGGUGGCGAAGGCGGCUCACUGGCUCAUUUCUGACGCUCAGGCGCGACAGCGUGGGGAUCAAACAGG